UCCUACGGGAGGCAGCAGUGGGAAUAUUGCACAAUGGGGGAAACCCUGAUGCAGCCAUGCCGCGUGUGUGAAGAAGGCCUUCGGGUUGUAAAGCACCUUCAGUUGUGAGGAAAAGUUAGUAGUUAAUACCUGCUAGCCGUGACGUUAACAACAGAAGAAGCACCGGCUAACUCCGUGCCAGCAGCCGCGGUAAUACGGAGGGUGCGAGCGUUAAUCGGAAUUACUGGGCGUAAAGCGCACGCAGGCGGUUUGUUAAGCUAGAUGUGAAAGCCCUGGGCUCAACCUGGGAUGGUCAUUUAGAACUGGCAGACUAGAGUCUUGGAGAGGGGAGUGGAAUUCCAGGUGUAGCGGUGAAAUGCGUAGAUAUCUGGAGGAACAUCAGUGGCGAAGGCGACUCCCUGGCCAAAGACUGACGCUCAUGUGCGAAAGUGUGGGUAGCGAACAGGAUUAGAUACCCUGGUAGUCCACACCGUAAACGCUGUCUACUAGCUGUGUGUGCCUUUAAGGCGUGCGUAGCGAAGCUAACGCGCUAAGUAG
rnacentral:rRNA from 1 species